rnacentral:lncRNA from 1 species
GCAUAUGUUAGGGAUGUUACCUUAGUAAACAACGAGCGAUGACAACCCAAAAAUUAAAAAUGGAUCAUUCUCAUGACAUUUUGUAUUUUGUACAUUUAACAUCCAUAAUACAUGUAGUUAGGAGCAUUUGAUUCAUAUUAAUCAUGGCAUCCUAAUCAUCUAGCAUAAGCAUAUCACUCUUCAAAGAUAGAUUCCCCAGUGGAUAAUGUAUCAGGAUUACAGAUAUCAUCAGCCUUAUCUUCACUGAGCAGGAGUGGAACAGGCUAAAAACCAGAUCUUAUCUUCACUGAGUAGGAGUGAAGCAGAUCGAAUUUUGAUGAAUCUUAUCUCCACGUACCGGCGAUGGAGCAGAUUCCAAUCAUCAGCCUUAUCUUCACUGAGGAGGAGUGGAGCAGGCUAAACAUACCAGAUCUUAUAUUCACUGAGCAGGAGUGAAGCAGGUCAAAUUUUGGCAAGUCUUCUCUCCAUCUAUCGACAAUAGAGCAGAUUUCAGCCACCAACCUUAUCUUCACUGAGCAGGAGUGGAGCAGGCUAAACAUACCAGAUCUUAUCUUCACUGAGCAGGAGUGAAGCAGAUCAAAUUUUGGCAAGUCUUAUCUCCAUGUAUCGGCAAUGGAGCAGAUUUUAGCCACCAGCCUUAUCUUCACUGAGCAGGAGUGAAGCAGGCUAAACAUACAGAUCUUAUCUUCGCUGAUUAGGAGUAGAGCAGAUCAAAUUACAGCAGACCACAUCUCCGUAAAGCAGCAACGGAGCAUUCUAAAGUAAUAAGGUGCGGGGGGUUGCGGCAAAGAAGUCAGGACUCAGUCGGCCACAGGUAAAAUUGGUCCCUUAUAGUCUUUGCUCUAUUCUUGUUACACAAUAAUGAGCAAAGAGGGGCAGCUGUUGGUCCCAAUUCAUUCCUGGUCCAGACCCAAAUAUUUAGAAUCCAAAAUAUAAAAACAAACCCAUUAACCACUUAAACCAAACUCUAGGCCCAGUACAUAAAUAACCCAACACCCAAAUCAGUUGACCCAGGUACCAGCAAACCCCAAACAACAGCAGUCCUCGCGCCGCACGCCUCUCACCAGCGUCCCACUCCGCCACGCCUCUCGAUUCCUAGAUUUUCGCAGCUAUACCUACAACAAGAAAAGACACAACAAUAGAAUAUUUUCAUUGUAUCUCUAGGCUAUAAAAGGCCAUUGUAAACAAUGAAAAAAAGGGGGAAAAAAGAGUUUUUUACGUGGGAAUCAAGAGAAAUACAGAGAAAUAUACCAGAUUUCUGAGUAAACUUUUAAUACCAUCCAAUAGAUUCAAAGGUGAAUAUAGUUUCUUUUCAAGGUUUUUAGCCCUUUGUUGUGC